rnacentral:rRNA from 1 species
AGUGAAUAGAUACCCAGGUAGUCCCAGCCGUAAACGAUGCUCGCUAGGUGUCAGGCAUGGCGCGACCGUGUCUGGUGCCGCAGGGAAGCCGUGAAGCGAGCCACCUGGGAAGUACGGCCGCAAGGCUGAAACUUAAAGGAAUUGGCGGGGGAGCACAACAACGGGUGGAGCCUGCGGUUUAAUUGGACUCAACGCCGGACAACUCACCGGGGGCGACAGCAAUAUGUAGGCCAAGCUGAAGACUUUGCCUGAAUCGCUGAGAGGAGGUGCAUGGCCGUCGCCAGUUCGUACUGUGAAGCAUCCUGUUAAGUCAGGCAACGAGCGAGACCCGUGCCCACUGUUACCAGCAUAUUCUCCGGAAUGAUGGGUACUCUGUGGGGACCGCCUAUGUUAAAUAGGAGGAAGGUGCGGGCCACGGUAGGUCAGUAUGCCCCGAAUCUCCCGGGCUACACGCGGGCUACAAUGGAUGGGACAAUGGUCCCUACUCCGAAAGGAGCUGGUAAUCUCACAAACCCAUUCGUAGUUCGAAUCGA